CCUACGGGAGGCAGCAGUAGGGAAUCUUCCACAAUGGGCGCAAGCCUGAUGGAGCAACACCGCGUGAGUGAAGAAGGGUUUCGGCUCGUAAAGCUCUGUUGUUGGAGAAGAACGUGCGUGAGAGUAACUGUUCACGCAGUGACGGUAUCCAACCAGAAAGUCACGGCUAACUACGUGCCAGCAGCCGCGGUAAUACGUAGGUGGCAAGCGUUAUCCGGGUUUAUUGGGCGUAAAGCGAGCGCAGGCGGUUGCUUAGGUCUGAUGUGAAAGCCUUCGGCUUAACCGAAGAAGUGCAUCGGAAACCGGGCAACUUGAGUGCAGAAGAGGACAGUGGAACUCCAUGUGUAGCGGUGGAAUGCGUAGAUAUAUGGAAGAACACCAGUGGCGAAGGCGGCUGUCUGGUCUGCAACUGACGCUGAGGCUCGAAAGCAUGGGUAGCGAACAGGAUUAGAUACCCCAGUAGUC
rnacentral:rRNA from 1 species